GAUCCUAAGUGGCCGGGGCCCCCCGUCCCCGACGCGGCUGUCGACCGGGCCGGACUGUCCUCAGUCCGUGCCUGACCGCGCCGCGCGCCAGGGCGGGGAUCGGCCCACGAAACGGCGCUCGGGGUCUGCGGCGAAGCGGCUACCCA
rnacentral:rRNA from 1 species